rnacentral:rRNA from 1 species
UACGUAGGGCGCAAGCGUUAUCCGGAAUUAUUGGGCGUAAAGAGCUCGUAGGCGGUGUGUCGCGUCGGCCGUGAAAACCUGCAGCUUAACUGUGGGCUUGCGGUCGAUACGGGCAUCACUGGAGUUCGGCAGGGGAGACUGGAAUACCUGGUGUAGAGGUGAAAUUCGUAGAUAUCAGGUGGAACACCAGUGGCGAAGGCGGCCUUCUGGACGGUAACUGACGCUGAGACGCGAAAGCGUGGGGAGCAAACAGG